GAUUUUCAAGGCAUUGUCUAUGGAAGGCACCAAAGCAAAGGUCCGCCUUCUUUUAACAGGUCUCUAAGGUCCACCUUCUGUUAACAGGUCUAUGAUCAGACAGUCUGGGUUACUAACAGGCUACUCUGACUUUUUUUUGAAGUUGACUUGCUUGAGAAAGUGAUGUUAAAGCUAAAAUGAAUUAUUAAACUCUUUUUUUUUGUAAUCUUAAACAACCUAAAAGAGAAAUAAUUCACAAUGUAGAAAGAAUGCGGAAGAGAUUCCUCAGCUCUACAGAAUGGUUGCCAUGGAGUGGACCAUAUUUGCCUUUUGAAAGCCAAUCUUUCAAUUGCAUUCAUCUCUGACAAUAAAUGUAAGGCUUACACCAGUGAAGAGAGUGGAGAGAGAAAAAUGAAACCCUUUGCCAGAGCUAGGCUGGACAGCUGCUGGAUUUUUGUAAGGGAUAUAAGAGUUUACAAGAAAGUGCCCCUCAAAGAAUGAAAUGCUUAUAUGAACAUUCUUUGUCGAUGAAACUCUUUAAGAAAGACCCACUGCUAGAAUCCUGUAAACUCCAUGUGCAGAAACAGAUGCAGGGCCUUGAACCUUCCAACCCCCUGAGAAGACCUGGACUGCUCUCCUUGAUGGACUGGUGCUCCUCAUUUCCCAGGGACUGGAACUGAAACUAUAGCCUGGGUGCUUUGAAACAGGACAGAUUUCCAAGCCCCUGUCCAGGAUUCUGAUUUAGCUGGCCUGGGAUGAAAACAUGGAUCUGCAUGUUUAACAAACAAACCAGUGGAUUUUUAACAUGGGGUUUAGGAAAUUAUACAAAGUAUACACUCUCCUAGGGCUAAUCUUGUUAUUAAUUAUUGUCAGUUAAAAGCAUUUCUUCACUGGAGAUGAGGAAAAAACCCAAACUUAAAGCGUCAAUAAAACUUUCAAAUAGAAGAUUAUUUUUAAAUGUUUUUCUUCUAAAUUUCAAGUCUGCUAUUCCAGAUCAUUCUCAUAAUCAAAAUCAUGAAGUCAUCAAACAAAUAAAAUC
rnacentral:lncRNA from 10 species